ensembl:lncRNA
CUUCAGUCUUUCCUCGAGGGAGAGAAUAAAGAUUCUAAAUUCUUUUCCUGAAUAUUUUUACUAUUAAGUCCCAAGUAUUUUCCCACAGCUUGUAGGAGGAUAUUAGCCUCUGCUGAGAUUUACCAUUCUGAUAAUAGUUCUCCCAGCAGGUACUUUUUGCAGCAAACUAAGCCUUCUAUGUUUAAGUACCACUGUUUAACCUUGCCGAGCACCUUGCAAUAGAAAGGUCAGCUCUCAGAGUAUGCUGUUUCUAAUUUAAGUGAAUGGACCCUGGAGUGAGAGCUAUAAUAAAGCCCAAUAAAAAUCUCCAGAAAACAAGACAUACAGUUGGAAUUUAACUAUGUACAUAGUUCCGUUGUUUUGAAAGUACAAUUAACUGGCACUGCAAAAUGGAACUUUAAAAGUUAGAUUUCUUUUGUUUUAGAGAAGCAACGUCUCCAAGUUUCCCCCUGCUGAGCACAUAUCCAAUACCCUCUCCUCUCCUCAGCCCCAAAGAAGUGAUGGAAUAUGUAGAUGCUGAUGAUGCAGGCCGGGAGCCUGGCACCUGUUUUCCUUUCACAGCAGAAAAAGCUGUUAGUGCUAGAUCAGAGAAAAACAGCCCUGGAAUUGGAGAAAAGCAUCCUCUUAUUUGUAGAUGAAGACAAGGCAUCAAGAGGCUGGGGCCAAAUUGCACAGCGGCUAUCUGAAGAAAAGCCAUUCAACCUCCAUCAUCAGCCAAGAGGGUUGAGACAGCUUGGUUGUGAAGAUCUGGGCAUUCCUGAAGUUUAGUGGAGCAGGCAAUAAAGGAUCCUAAAGUGGAAGGGACCUUGGAGGUGGUCCAGUUAAAAAGGCCACGCCUGUGCAUGACUCUCCCUGGAACAUCACUACCAGAUGCUCAGCAAUCCUUUGUGUGACCAUCUGAUGACAGUUCAGUCUCUCUCCCUUUUGAAAAACUUCCCAAGUAUUUGAAAAUAUUACUGUCAGUAUUCUCCAAAAUAUCCUCACCUCCAUAAUUUGGCUACGUGUGUGAGAUAUAUUUGGAAUUGAAACCAGUAAGGAACUGGAUGCAAGAG